rnacentral:rRNA from 1 species
AGGACGAACGCUGGCGGCGUGCUUAACACAUGCAAGUCGAGCGGAAAGGCCCUUCGGGGUACUCGAGCGGCGAACGGGUGAGUAACACGUGAGUAAUCUGCCCCUAGCUCUGGGAUAGCUCCGGGAAACCGGGAUUAAUACCGGAUACGACCACCUUAGACAUCUUUUGUGGUGGAAAGAAUUUCGGCUAGGGAUGAGCUCGCGGCCUAUCAGCUUGUUGGUGGGGUAAUGGCCUACCAAGGCAAUGAUCGGUA